ensembl:lncRNA
CCCACCCCAUCUUAUAGGGAAAGACUAGCUGAAGGAGGCCUGGGUUCGAUGCCUGGCUGCAGGUUAGACAACUGGCUGCAGGACCUUGGAGCCAGUCGCUCAGCCACGCUCAGCCCCACCUUCCCAUCUGCGCAAUGCAGUGAUCGCCAUGCCCGCUUUGGAGACUCGGAAAUCAGACGCUCUACGCGGAGGGGUCCAGCGUGGGGCAUAUACAGCCCGGCGCAUGUGUGGUCCUCAGUAGCUGCUUACUCGAUCUGCAAGUGAAAUUUAAUUCCAGAAAUAGGACGAGCUGUGGAGAUGGUGGUGAAGGAACAGCCACGGGAACGCAGAGCGCCCUGAUCUGAAGCUGAGGAGGUAUGAACGCAAGUGAGGCUGGGGUCCGAACGCCUCACCCCGUUCCUCAGGGCAGUGCCCACUGGCCCAUCACACAAGGUGCGGGAGGAGGACCAUCUGACCACUAGUCACAUGGUGAGACAUCAAGACUGAGAACUGUAUCCAGCGCCCUUAAACCUCCUCCAUCCUUGAGUAGGAACAGACGCUUUCCCUCAGCUGCAUCUGGCCAAGGGCUUCACCACCAGCCUAGCUUCAGCUGGGACGGCUUUGGCUGCAAGUAACACCUGAGCAAACCCGGCUCAAACAAUAGAGGCUAAUGAGGAGUCUGGAGGUUGGAGGUUCCAGGCUGGGUUCACAGGGCGCAGGUCACAUCCUCCAAGAGUCCAUUGUGUUGACCUCGCCUUCCCGCUUGUAAGAUGGCAGCUACAGGUAUCGCUUCCCCAAGCACCAACAUCCCAUGACCCCAAGCUGGGGGAGGGUGCUUCUCAUCUAAAUCAAGUCCCCAGAAGACUUUCCUCAAGUUCCAGCGGCCAGAACUGGGUCACAGGCCCAGCCCUAAAACGAUCGUUGGCAAAGGAGAGAGAGCUGAGCUGGAGGCGGACCCCCACCGAGGACACGGCACCCAUACCUGAGCACAUUUGGGGUUCUGCUGGAAGGAAGAUGGCGGGAGCGGACGUUCAGUUGGAAACCAGCUGAGCUGCCAGGCCUUGUUGGGAUUUUGGGGUUUCAGCUUCUGCAUUAUUUUUAACUGGAGAUAUUAUACUGUCAAAACAAGCAACAAUCUUGAAUGCUGCCCGAAACGAACAGUCCUGGACUUAAAUCGUCUCUUCCCCAGGAGUGGGAUCUUAGCCUCGCGACUUUGGACAAGUUACUCCCUCUCCAAGGCCUGUCGUCCUCGUCGGUAAAAAUGGAGACCCACUAAUACUCACGUCACCGGUGGGGGUUGUGAGGAUUAAAUGAGGAUGCAUAAAAAUGAGUGGCACAGCGCCUGGCAGGGAGUAAGCUUGAAACAGAGGUCAGCAAGCGCUGGUGCAGGGCGUGAAACAAGCAGGGCGGGAAGGGCACAAAAUGCAGGGGCCCGAGAGUGAGGGCUCCUUACAGUCUGUGGCCUGGGCCCCUUUCUUACCUCACUGAUAAUACUUGCACGGGAAGCAGAGAUACAAAAAGCCCUAAAUCACCCAAUAUUUGCAUCAGCCUUCAGGAAAGACAGACAGGUGCAGGGUGCAGUCUGCAGGGGGCGCAGUUCCUGGCUUUGGCUCCACUUCCUCAACUCGGUCCCACCUCUCAUCUGAAACGCCCUGUCAGUCGGUCCUUCCCUGCCGUCCUCAUCACAGAGCUGUGUGGGAACCCAAUGAGACAAGGAAGUGAAAGACCUUUGUAAACUACAGUAGACAGGACCACUCAAAAGAUGAUGCUCAUGCUUAGGAUCCUUAUUAGGUCCGGUGCGUCUUUCUCCCCUCUCCCUACCCGCUCCUGACAAGUGGAAGUCUCUCCAGGUGUUCAAAGUCUCCAUUAAAUCUAUUCGGUUGCCACUUGAUUCUCUUGCUUCAUAUCUUUGUAUUUGAGGAAAAGGAAAAUAGCACAUGUAUCCAAAAUAUGAGUCAGUCAUAAAGUGUUCUGUAGCCAGACCCAUUCAUCUUGCCUCCAUUUUAAUUUUUUAACUAAAAACCACAAAUCACUGACCACCACCUUCCAUGAAUUAAAUUGUAAGGAAACUUAGGAAACAGCUCGAAUUUUAGUCAAUAUUUGCCUUGGCCAUGAAAAAAAGAGCUUCCUUCUCUUGGCUGCCUCUAAUCAGGAGUGUUAAUUAUCUUGGUUACAUGCUAGCAAAUCAAUUAUGAACUAACGAAGUUAAAGGAGGUCACUUGUUAAGGAAAACUGAUUACAUGUUGUCGGCUCUGGGGGAUUAAAUGAAAAACCACUGUCAAGAAG